rnacentral:rRNA from 1 species
CCAGACCACCAACUAAGGCCCCAAAGCGUACGCUAAGUGGGAAAGGAUGUGGAGUCGCACAGACAACCAGGAGGUUGGCUUAGAAGCAGCCACCCUUGAAAGAGUGCGUAAUAGCUCACUGGUCAAGUGAUUCCGCGCCGACAAUGUAGCGGGGCUCAAGCGUACCGCCGAAGUUGUGGCAUUUAUGCAAUAUCUCGGCCUGUUUACAGGUCCAGGAGCAUGGAUGGGUAGGGUAGCGUCGUGUGGCGAGUGAAGCGGCAGGGGAACCUAGCCGUGGACGCCACACGAGUGAGAAUGCAGGCAUGAGUAGCGAAAGACGGGUGAGAAACCCGUCCGCCGAAUGACCAAGGGUUCCAGGGCCAGGCUAAUCCGCCCUGGGUAAGUCGGGACCUAAGACGAGGCCGACAGGCGUAGUCGAUGGACAACGGGUUGAUAUUCCCGUACCGGCAUUAACACGACCCUGACGAACCUAGUAAUGCUAAGCGCCCAAAGCUCAGUGAUUCCUUCGGGAAGAGUUGAGUGGAGCGCGCGACCCGAACUAGUAGUAGUCAAGCGAUGGGGUGACGCAGGAAGGUAGUCCAACCCAGGCGAUGGUAGACCUGGGGUAAGGGUGUAGGGCGAGACGUAGGCAAAUCCGCGUCUCAUAUGCCUGAGACCUGACGCCGAGCCGAUCAAGGCGAAGUGGAUGAUCCUAUGCUGCCAAGAAAAGCCUCUAGCGAGUGUUAAAGCCGCCCGUACCCCAAACCGACACAGGUGGUCAGGUAGAGAAUACCAAGGCGAUCGAGAGAACUAUGGUUAAGGAACUCGGCAAAAUGCCCCCGUAACUUCGGGAGAAGGGGGGCCGAUUUGGGUGAGGAGACUUGCUCUCUAAGCCCGGGUUGGCCGCAGAGACCAGGCCCAAGCGACUGUUUACUAAAAACACAGGUCCAUGCGAAGUCGCAAGACGCUGUAUAUGGACUGACGCCUGCCCGGUGCUGGAACGUUAAGGGGACGGGUUAGCAACUUCGGUUGCGAAGCUCAGAACUUAAGCGCCAGUAAACGGCGGUGGUAACUAUAACCAUCCUAAGGUAGCGAAAUUCCUUGUCGGGUAAGUUCCGACCUGCACGAAUGGCGUAACGACUUGGGCGCUGUCUCAACCGUAGACUCGGCGAAAUUGCACUACGAGUAAAGAUGCUCGUUACGCGCGGCAGGACGAAAAGACCCCGGGACCUUUACUACAGCUUGGUAUUGGUGGUCGAUUCAAUUUGUGUAGGAUAGGUGGGAGACUAUGAACUCUGGACGCCAGUUCAGAGGGAGUCAUCGUUGAAAUACCACUCUGAUUGUAUUGGCUGUCUAACCUAGGUCCGUAAUCCGGAUCAGGGACAGUGCCUGGUGGGUAGUUUAACUGGGCGGUUGCCUCCCAAAAUGUAACGGAGGCGCUCAAAGGUUCCCUCAGCCUGGUUGGCAAUCAGGUAUCGAGUGUAAGUGCACAAGGGAGCCUGACUGUGAGACUGACGGGU